AGAUCUUGGUGGUAGUAGCAAAUACUCAAAUGAGAACUUUGAGGACUGAAGUGGGGAAAGGUUCCAUGUGAACAGCAGUUGGACAUGGGUUAGUCGAUCCUAAGAGAUAGGGAAACUCCGUUUUAAUGUGCGCACUUGUGCGCCGUCCCUCGAAAGGGAAGCCGGUUAAUAUUCCGGCACCUGGAUUUGGAUUCUCCACGGCAACGUAACUGAACGCGGAGACGACGGCGGGGGCCCUGGGAAGAGUUCUCUUUUCUUCUUAACAGCCUAUCACCCUGAAAUCGGUUUGUCCGGAGCUAGGGUUUAAUGGGCGGCAGAGCACUACACCUCUGUAGUGUCCGGUGCGCUCCCGACGUCCCUUGAAAAUCCGCUGGAAGGAAUAAGAUUCGCGCCAGGUCGUACACAUAACCGCAGCAGGUCUCCAAGGUGAACAGCCUC
rnacentral:rRNA from 11 species